rnacentral:rRNA from 1 species
AGAGUUUGAUCCUGGCUCAGGAUGAACGCUAGCGACAGGCCUAACACAUGCAAGUCGAGGGGUAACAGGGAAGCUUGCUUCCGCUGACGACCGGCGCACGGGUGAGUAACGCGUAUGCAACCUACCUUACACAGGGGGAUAGCCCAGAGAAAUCUGGAUUAAUACCGCAUAAUAUGAAUGCUUCGCAUGGAGUAUUUAUUAAAAUUUCGAUGGUGUAAGAUGGGCAUGCGUAGUAUUAGUUAGUAGGUGAGGUAACGGCUCACCUAGACGAUGAUACUUAGGGGGUCUGAGAGGAUAGUCCCCCACACUGGUACUGAGACACGGACCAGACUCCUACGGGAGGCAGCAGUGAGGAAUAUUGGUCAAUGGGCGCAAGCCUGAACCAGCCAUGUCGCGUGCAGGAUGACGGCCCUAUGGGUUGUAAACUGCUUUUGUAUGGGAAUAACCGCAUCUACGUGUAGAUGCCUGAACGUACCAUACGAAUAAGGAUCGGCUAACUCCGUGCCAGCAGCCCGCGGUAAUACGGAGGAUUCGAGCGUUAUCCGGAUUUAUUGGGUUUAAAGGGNCCCGUAGGCGGAUCUUUAAGUCAGNGGNGAAAUCCCAGANNCUUAACUUCUGGNAACUGCC